rnacentral:rRNA from 1 species
CUCUCUUUAUUCACACACCCCUGUGCACUUUGGCCACCUCUUUAUUGAGGUGUGUCUUUUUAAUUACCAUACCCUAUAAACACAAGUUAUUGAAUGUAAAAUCGUUAUAAACUAAUAUAACUUUCAACAACGGAUCUCUUGGUUCUCGCAUCGAUGAAGAACGCAGCGAAUUGCGAUAAGUAAUGUGAAUUGCAGAAUUCAGUGAAUCAUCGAAUCUUUGAACGCAUCUUGCGCUCUUUGGUAUUCCGAAGAGCAUGCCUGUUUGAGUGUCAUGAAACUCUCACCUCCAAUCUUUUUUAACUAGAAGGUUGGGGCGUGGACGUGAGUGCUGCUGGUGCCCUGGUUGCAUCGGCUCACUUGAAAUUCAUUAGCUGAAUCCUUUAAAGUAGGUUCUACUCGACGUGAUAAGAUCUCCGUCGAGGACAGUGCUUCGGCAUUGGCCAACGAUAAAGUUGAUACGCUUCUAAUUAGCGCAGACUUCGAGUGCUGGCAAUUUUGACAACUUGGCCUCAAAUCAGGUAGGACUACCCACUGAACUUAAGCAUAUCAAUAAGUGGAGGAAAAGAAACUAACAAGGAUUCCCCUAGUAACGGCGAGUGAAGCGGGAAGAGCUCAAAUUUAAAAUCUGGCAGUCUACGAUUGUCCGAAUUGUAAUCUCGAGAAGUGUUUUCCGCGUUGGCCUGUGCACAAGUCCCUUGGA